CCAGUCUUCUCUUGCUGGAUUGCGUUUUAUAAUGUCCAUUUGACAGGGAUGGGGAGGAAAGGAAUAUAAUCUUACAAAAGGUAAGGCAGGAUCAGCACAGCGAGUUCCUGAAGGCAACCUCUCAGCUGAAUUAGUAAGUGCGCUAGCAAGGCCAUUCUGUCCAGCGGGUGUGAUUAGAGGAUAAUAUGAUCUUAGUAACCGUGCAGCAGCACUCCAUGCAGCAAGAGGGUCUCCCGCACGAACAGCAGACAGUAGUAUCUCCCUCAGUACAACCAUCUGCAGUGUGCUCCAUUGAGAUUCAAAUAGAGAAACUACUGACUGGUGAUGCAUUUUCCCACUAUCAACAUGA
rnacentral:misc_RNA from 1 species